rnacentral:rRNA from 1 species
UACGUAGGGGGGCAAGCGUUGUCCGGAUUUAUUGGGCGUAAAGCGCUCGCAGGCGGCUUGCUACGUCAUGCGUGAAACACCCCGGCUCAACUGGGAGGUCGGUGUGAUACGGGCAGGCUUGAGGCCAGUGAGGGGGAUGGGCGGAAUUCCGGGAUGGUAGUGGGUGGAAUGCGUAGAGAUCCGGAAGAACACCGGUGGCGAAGGCGGUCUGCUGGGCAGUUGCUGGACACUGGAUGCGCGACAGCGUGGGGAGCAAACAGG